GCCGGCUUAGCUCAGGGGUAGAGCAGCGGUUUUGUAAACCGUUGGUCGGGGGUUCAAAUCCCUCAGCCGGCACCA
rnacentral:tRNA from 1 species